AUGGUAAGCUGGCUCUUUCUAACUGUGCUAGAGGGCUUACAGAAAGAAAAUAAUAGCUUGAGAUUUAAAAUUCACAGCUUUAGGGCAGCCCGGGUGGCUCAGCGGUUUGGUGCUGCCUUCAGCCCAGGGCCUGAUCCUGGAGACCCAGGAUCGAGUCCCACGUCAAGCUCCCUGCGUGGAGCCUGCUUCUCCCUCUGCCUGGGUCUCUGCCUCUCUCUCUCUCUGUGUCUCUCAAGAAUAAAUAAAUAAAAUCUUAAAAAAAACUAAAAUAAAAUUCACAGCUAUAGAUGUGGUAAAAGAAAAAUCCAGGGAGUUUCUAUGACUGAUCUAUAAGGAUCUUAUAAAGGGGUUGACAUAGUUGGAAAUCACACACACAGGUUUGAUCUUGCAAAUUGGUAAAAGGCAUUGUAGGUAGAAUUCACAGACCUGCCAGAUCUCUUUAAAAUUUUUAUUUAUUUAUUUAUUUGAGAGAGAGUGAGAGAGCGCAUGUGCAAACAGAGGGAGAAGAAGACUCUCUGUUGAGCAGAAAGCCCGACAUGGGACUCAAUCCCAGGACCCUGAAAUCAUGACCUGAGCCUAAGGCAGAUACUUAACCUACUGAGCUAUCCAGGCACCCCAUCGGAUCUUAAUGAAUAUGAGAACCCUGAUUACAAAAUAGAAGACAUUUGAAAAAUAGUAACUUUGGAGAUAAUUUAGACAACUUUAAGGAUAUUGAACCCGUAAACUCCACUGGUUUUCUUGCUAGCAGAAGCAAUCCUGUGAGAUGAAGCUGUUCUGACCUCACCAAAGAUAGUUACCUUGCUAGGGGGUGCCGAUUUUCCUCAAUGUCUUUAGACAAUUGGAAUCACACUCUAGCAUAUCCCAGGGAACCAAUUGCAAAGUCAAAUAUAGGGGAAUAAAAAUUUCAAGGUUUUACUAAUUUAUGCAACAAAAGACUUGGAGGAAUAUAUGGAGGAAUGAACUCUGGAGGUGCUAGCUCAGAGAGGGAAGUGCAUAAUUUUAGAUUGAAUUGAAUUUUUUUAAUAGGUCCUCUUACCAGAUUUUGGGUUAAAUAUUCUGGUUUGAGCAGCUGGGAAUAUUUCUAACCGUUUACUUGGUUGAUUAAAAUAUGACCUCUACAGUGACAUGCACUAAAUGAAAUAGACCAGAAACUCGUUGGCAUAAUAUAGAGGAAGAAAAUGAAUUUAAUAAAUUAGAGAAUUGGAAUAUAGGAAUGGUUUUAUCAUGCAUGUCCUGUUCUCCAUCCCCAAAACUAUUUUCUUCUGUGAAGGCCCAGAGGACACUUAUAGCACUGAGCUGAAAAAUACAUUGGGAACACAGGAUCAGGAUUUUUGAGAGGUGCUUUAGAGGCUGUCUGUAGACUAUGGAUGAAGGCAGGAGUAUCUUUGAUUCCUUAGUCUCAGUUGGAAUGCCGGGAUCCUGGAGUGGCAGAGGUCAGAUAGCAGCAUAGCAAUGUUAAGGGGCUGUCAGGCAGGAGUGUUAAUCAGAUUAGAUGAUGUUUGUUAAUGGUAAAGUGACCGAUGACAGAGGUAGUGGGCUAGUCCACUAAAGAACUCAUUCAUCUGAAUAAUCAUAAUCUUAGUAAGAUCUAGUCCUCAUAUAAAAAGACCUUAUUUGACAUAUCAUGGUGGAUUUCCAGAGCUGAGUCUACUGAUAACUCAGUAAGAGAGCUCUUGACUGAAAUGGAGACUUUUCAUUUUUCCUGAAAAAGGAUCUUUGCUCUUCGUAUUUAAUGUUGAAUAUUAUGAAUGAUAUUAUGUUUGUCCAUUAGGUAUCUUUUUUUAAGAUUAUUUAUUUAUUUAUUCAUGAGAGGCAGAGAGAGAGAGAGAGGCAGAGACACAGGCAGAGGGAGAAGCAGGCUCCGUGCAGGGAGCCCAAUGUGGGACUCCAUCCUGGGACUCUGGGAUCAUGCCCUGAGCUGAAGGCAGAUGCUAAGCCACUGAGCCACCCAGGGAUCCCCCGGUAUCUUUCAUUUUGUAUCACUUCUAGUAUGUUCUGAUCUUGAGGUAAGGAACUUAGGUUAUUCCCAUGGAUACCUUUAUUAUUAACCCAACAGUAUGUAAUUGUUAGUGCUUCAGGAUCAUAGCCUAAGAGAUGUCUGUCUUCCUGGGAGGUCUGGAACAGUAUGUCAAUGAAAGUAAUGUUUGAUAUGAGUAGGAGUUGACCGGGCAGGUGAUAUGGAAAAGGACAGAUAUGGCAAAAGGAAACACAUACACGAAGACUCGACUAUCAUGUGUGGAGAACUAUGAAUACAUAUCUGUGGGAAGGCACAUAUAAUGUAUUUAAAGUAGUGAAAGAGAUUAACCUGGAAAUGAGGAGAGGGAACAGGUCAUUUUGUUCCUCAACUAAAGACUUAGAAUCUUUUUUUUUUUUUUUUUUUUAAGACUUAGAAUCUUGACUGGAGGUAAUGGAGAGGUUCCUCCAUUGGAGGAAUCUCCAAUGGAGAUUUUGGAGGGUUAUAAGCAAUGGGAUUUUUAACAUGGCAGGUAAGCCUGAGUAGAAUAGGGACAGAUACUCCAUUAAGGAGAUUAUUGGAAUAGUUCAGAUGAAAAAUAAUAGGACUAAACCUAGACGGUGGGGUGAGAGGAAAGAGCAAGAAGAGGUAUUUAGGAGGUUGGUUCAUUAAGUUUUGGGAACCAAAUGGCGAAUCACAAAUGUCUGUUAGGUAUCUUAUUUGGGGUUCUGGGUGGAGAACGAUACCAAUUUCUGUAAUCAGAGAGAAAUAAGAGAGGGUAGGAAUUUGAUAUGGGAGAUGCCUUUAGGCAGGUCCUAUAAUAGAGGUCCAAGUAGACAGUUUGGCUUAUGAAUCUGGGGCAGAAUAAAGAGAUCUGGCCUAGAAAUUUGGAACUCAAGCAGAGCCUGUCCGUGUCCUACCCAUAUUUCUUUGCGUCUUACUGCAUCCUGACCCAUCUCUUCGUUGCCAGUUACUGCCCCCUAAGUCGACUGUCCUUGUGCUCAUGGCAAGCUGGAAGUGCUAAAGAUUUAAUGUCUCCUGGGAGUUAACCCUCAUGCAGCAACUCUCAGGAGUUGUGGAUAAAUACCCCAGCUCAUUUGUCCCUUGAGUAGAACAUUUCUAGAGUGUGUCUUACACCAUUUCCUAGAGCUCCCCAGCAGGACUUAACUCUUUUGCCCAUUGUGGUACUUUGCUUGAUAAUGUUCACUUUAUUAACUCCCUUGUCUUUCUUGUCUUCCUUGCUUCCCUAAUGAUGUUUCCUAAUGAUGUUGGCAUUACCUCCAAAAUAAACUACUUCUGUUUAAAUCCUUGUCUCAGGAUCUGCUUCUCAGGAAAUCCAAACUAAGAUAAGCAGUAAUGGGCAUAGAGGAAAAGUUGACUGGUUGACUACAUUUGGAAAACAGCUUAUUUUUACAGGUUUUACAAAAACAUACAAUUAUUAGAACAUGAUGCCUGAAACCUUUCCAGGGUCCUGGACAAGAAGCUCUAUAAAUGAAUGUGUAUGUGUGUGUGUGUGUGUGUCUGUGUGUGUGUGUUUUCAUGAGAAAACAUGAGAUUUGAGAUUUCAUGAGAUUUGACCUUUUAUACCAUACUUAACACUGGUUAAAUAGCCUUGGUGAGCUGGUUGUCUUCAUCUUUGAUGCUAAAAUUUGAAGUUUAGCGUAGCUGGCAAUUGGAAAGAGA
rnacentral:lncRNA from 1 species